CUGGCUGCCAUGGGAUACUUAGGCUACUUUCACACUUGCGGCAGUGUGAUCCGGCGGGCAGUUCCGUAGUCGGAACUGGCCGCCGGAUCCGCUGAUCUGCCACUGACUGAAAGCAUUUGUGAGACGGAUCCGGAUGCCGAUCCGUCUCACAAAUGCAUUGCAAGGACGGAUCCGUCUCUCCGCUUGUCAUGCGGAGGCCGGAAGGACGGA